rnacentral:rRNA from 1 species
GACGAACGCUGGCGGCGUGCUUAACACAUGCAAGUCGAACGGAAAGGCCCUGCUUUUGUGGGUUGCUCGAUUGGCGAACGGGUGAGUAACACGUGAGUAACCUGCCCUUGACUUUGGGAUAACUUCAGGAAACUGGGGCUAAUACCGGAUAGGAGCUCCUGCUGCAUGGUGGGGGAUGGAAAGUUUCGGCGGUUGGGGAUGGACUCGCGGCUUAUCCGCUUGUUGGUGGGGUAGGGGCUUACGAAGGCUUUGACGGGUAGCCGGCCUGAGAGGGUGACCGGCCACAUUGGGACUGAGAGACGGAGCAGACGCCUACGGGAGGCAGCAGUGGAGAAUAUUGCGCAAUGGGCGGGAGCCUGAUGCAGCGGCGCCGCGUGCGGGAUGACGGCCUUCGAGUGGUAAACCGCUUUGGCCGGUGACGAAGCGUGAGUGACGGUAAUGGGUAAAGAAGCACCGGCUAACUACGUG